UGGGGAAGGCGUCAGUGUCGGG
rnacentral:miRNA from 1 species